rnacentral:rRNA from 1 species
AAUGAACGCUGGCGGCGUGCUUAACACAUGCAAGUCGCACGAGAACGCUUCAGCUUGCUGGAGCUAGUAAAGUGGCGUACGGGUGAGUAACGCGUGGGUAAUCUAUCUCUGAAUUGGGGAUAACAUUGCGAAAGCGAUGCUAAUACCGGAUAAAAUCCAUUAAACCUCGGUUUUUUUGGAUCAAAGGUGGCCUCUACAUGUAAGCUACUGUUUGGAGACGAGCUCGCGUACCAUUAGCUCGUUGGUAGGGUAAAGGCCUACCAAGGCAAUGAUGGUUAGCUGGUCUGAGAGGAUGAUCAGCCACACUGGAACUGACACACGGUCCAGACUCCUACGGGAGGCAGCAGUGAGGAAUUUUGCGCAAUGGGGGAAACCCUGACGCAGCAACGCCGCGUGAGUGAUGAAGGCUUUCGGGUCGUAAAGCUCUGUCAAGUGGGAAGAACCCGUGCCGUACAAAUAGUGCGGUGCGCUGACGGUACCACUGAAGGAAGCACCGGCUAACUCCGUGCCAGCAGCCGCGGUAAUACGGGGGGUGCAAGCGUUAUUCGGAAUCAUUGGGCGUAAAGAGCGCGUAGGCGGUCUUCUAUGUCAGGUGUGAAAGCCCGGGGCUCAACCCCGGAAGUGCAUUUGAAACUGGGAGAC